AUUGAACGCUGGCGGCAGGCCUUACACAUGCAAGUCGAGCGAGAAAUUUUCUUCGGGAAAGAGUAAAGCGGCGGACGGGUGAGUAACGCGUAGGAAUCUACCUAGUAGUGGGGGACAACAUGUGGAAACGCAUGCUAAUACCGCAUACGCCCUAUGGGGGAAAGCAGGGGAUCUUCGGACCUUGUGCUAUUAGAUGAGCCUGCGUCGGAUUAGUUUGUUGGUAGGGUAAUGGCCUACCAAGACUACGAUCCGUAGCUGGUCUGAGAGGAUGAUCAGCCACACUGGGACUGAGACACGGCCCAGACUCCUACGGGAGGCAGCAGUGGGGAAUAUUGGACAAUGGGCGCAAGCCUGAUCCAGCCAUGCCGCGUGUGUGAAGAAGGCUCUAGGGUUGUAAAGCACUUUCAGUAGGGAGGAAAAGUUAGUAGUUAAUAACUGCUGACCCUGACGUUACCUACAGAAGAAGCACCGGCAAACUCCGUGCCAGCAGCCGCGGUAAUACGGAGGGUGCGAGCGUUAAUCGGAAUUACUGGGCGUAAAGCGCGCGUAGGCGGUUUGAUAAGCUGGAUGUGAAAGCCCCGGGCUCAACCUGGGAACUGCAUCCAGAACUGUCUGACUAGAAUACAAUAGAGGUGAGUGGAAUUUCCUGUGUAGCGGUGAAAUGCGUAGAUAUAGGAAGGAACAUCAGUGGCGAAGGCGACUCACUGGAUUGAUAUGACCG
rnacentral:rRNA from 1 species